AAGGGAGGGAGGGGAAAGA
rnacentral:miRNA from 1 species